AUUGAACGCUGGCGGCAUGCUUUACACAUGCAAGUCGAACGGUAACAGGUCUUUCGGAUGCUGACGAGUGGCGAACGGGUGAGUAAUGUAUCGGAACGUGCCCAGUAGUGGGGGAUAACUACUCGAAAGAGUGGCUAAUACCGCAUGAGAUCUCUGGAUGAAAGCGGGGGACCGUAAGGCCUCGCGCUACUGGAGCGGCCGAUAUCAGAUUAGGUUGUUGGUGAGGUAAAGGCUCACCAAGCCGACGAUCUGUAGCUGGUCUGAGAGGACGACCAGCCACACUGGGACUGAGACACGGCCCAGACUCCUACGGGAGGCAGCAGUGGGGAAUUUUUGGACAAUGGGCGGCAAGACCUGAUCCAGCCAUGCCGCGUGAGUGAAGAAGGCCUCGUGUAGUAGU
rnacentral:rRNA from 1 species